AGAUGCUGAUAAGGUGGUUGGACUGGUUGGAAACAGUAAUGAUGUGGGUAGUACCACAGAAAAUCACAACAUUGAAGAUGCUGAUAAGGUGGUUGGACUGGUUGGAAACAGUAAUGAUGUGGGUAGUACCACAGAAAAUCACAACAUUGAAGACAAUGACAGUAACAUUGUGUCUGAUAGGAUCAUUUACCAGACUGAUGAGGAAAGUCCUGCCUCUGACACAAGUUUCUGUGAAAAUUCAACAUUUGAAGGUAAU